CCUUCACUGAGGUGGCUCAGUCGGUAGAGCGUGGAGACUCUUAAUAGCAGGAUCGUGGGUUCGAGCCCCACGUUGGGGGA